CCCGAGCUGCCUUUGGGCUUCCAGGAAAAACAGUAGGGGGUUAACAGACUCCGGAGGAUUGGAUGGGAUUCUGUACGGCGCCUCGCACAGAAGAAAUUCCAUAGGAAAGAGACGGAUGCUCUUCGUCCCGUCCAGUCCCGCCCCCCGUGUAGUCUCUUCUGGAGAUACCGAGAACCGCCUCCCCGUAGCUGUCAAGCUUUGAGCCUGACACGUGAAGAACCAGGAACGCGGAACACGCUCAGGAAACAUUAGGACUAUACUAUCUUGGCGAUGAGCAGGGGGAGACCGCAGCCAGCCAACUUGUGCGCGGCGGCCUGACCGGCCGCUUUCCCUUUAAGCACCUGCGCGCCCAUCCCGCGGAGGGAGCGGCGCGAGGCUCAAGCGCGCUGCCAAGCACUCAGAUUCCUCCGCCGAGCGCGGCGCCCGUCUUCCCCAGAUUUCCUCCUUCCGCUCCCGCCCGCGGGCUUCGGGGCUCCGGGUUCGCACUUCCCCCCGCCGCUAGUUCCGGUGAGCCCGCCCACCGGCCUUCGGCCCUGGGACUAGACGCGGCCCGAGCCGCGGGGCCGCCCCGCGAGGACCCGCUGCCGGGAUCCGUUCCCCGCCCCCCUUCCCCGAGGCCGACACGCACUUCCGGCGACGCGGCGGCUGGGACCGAGCAGGGAGGGGAGCGGGGCGGCGGGCGGUGACGGAUGCCCUGAUGGUCAGGAUGCGGGACCUCCUCACCCCGAACUAUGCGCUGCGCGGGGAGCGCCACGAGCUCACGGACCGGGUGCGGCGGCGUCUGUGCGAGACGGCCAAGCUGCUGGCCUAGGUGCGUCCGCCCGCCCGCCCGCCUGCCUGCCCCAUGCCCGAAACGUUUAAUGUAGUUCUUCCCGGCUUCCCGAGUUUUUAUCGAAGCAGCCUCUUCCUUGAGGUUCUUCGAGGCCAGAUUCUCCAGCGACACCGUGAAGGUGGUAUUUCUAAUCAGCCGCCUCACUGGGGCGGCCGAGGAGUGGGUAGUAUCCUACAUCCAGAGGGAGAGCCCCAUCCUGGCUCAUUAGGACGCUUCGUGGACGCGCCGGAGCGGGCCGUUGGCCGGAAUGAGUAGAAAAGAAGGCUUCGAGCCUCUUCCCUCGGCUUUGGUUCCGGAGAGCUCUCUAGUGGCCAGCUGCUGGGCCCCGUCCCUCGCUUGGAAGCUUGUCCGCCUCCUGUUCUGGCCAGCCCCACGGCCUUUGUACCCUGCCCAGCUGUCAGAGGAGACCUGUUAGAAAUUGAACAGGCCCCCCAGGAUCACCCUCUGCCACCUGCCGUCUCUGAAGGUUGCCGCUGACCGCCUUUGAAAAUCAGGGCCAACCUAGGAAGUGCCUGGGUUUGUCACACCUCUGUAGAGACUGAUUCUCUGAUUCUGGAUAGCUCAGGCCAGGAGACAGAUUGUAGUAGGUUAGUGAGCCUGGCAGCCAAGUUGACAUUUCUCCCGCAGGAACCAGCUUUCCAUACUGGUUCCAUGCUUCAUUUCUGUUCCGAAACCACAAGUCUCCUAGAUCGUGCCUUUUGGGCAGAGAAACCCAGGCGCUGGACACUACAUGGAAAAAGUGUUUACUUUUAAGACCUUACAUAUAAGUCUUAACAUUACCACAUGCCCAGUACUAGGUGUUAACAGGAAAGGCAGAGAUGAAGAAGACAAAGACGUGACUUCAAGAAGACGAUUUUGUCCUGAGAAAAAAUUCUAAGUGCAUAUUCCGUGUGAAGCGUGUGUGAAGCGUGCAUAUUGGAUUCUUUUCAUGGUCUUUUUAACUUUUUACCCCAUAGUGAAUGAGUUAAAAACAUGUGCAGCUUACAAAGGAGGCAGAACCCAACUUAAACAGUUUUUAGAUUUGUUACUGAUUCUUUAAAGAUGCAUAUGACUUGUGGCAAAAAAAAAAAAAAAAAAAGAUGGUACAUUCUUUAAAGUAGAGCCACUUGGCUUUAUUAUAUUAAAUUACUUAGAACUCUUUUUUUUUUUAAUUACACAUUUUGCCUCAGUUUUUCUUCUAUAAUUAAAGACAUGACUUGAUUAUUAAAUUCAGGUUCAAAAUUCUGUGAUUCUCUCAUGGGGUCAAAGGGAAGAAAAAGGAAGAUCCAGACGUCCUGUUGCCAAAGGGGUUCUUGAAACCCCCUAGUGAGGAAAAUCUGGAAUUGCCUUUCCUUUUAAAGGUUUUUGUUUUAUUUUGUUUUGUUUUGUUAAUGCUUAUUUAUUUUGAGAGAGGAGUGAGCAGAGCAGGGGCAGAGAAGGAGAGAGAAUUCCAAGCAGCCUCCCCGCUGUCAGUGCAGAGCCCAAUGUGCUCCUUCAGAGCACAGCCUGCUUAGGCUUAGGAUUCUCUCUCUCUCUCUCUGUCUCCCUCUCUCUGCCCCUACUCUGCUUGCAUGCACACACGUGUGUGUUCUCUCGCUCUCGCUCUCUAGAAAGAAAGAAAGAGAGGAAGGAGGAAGAGUUGAAAAACUCAUCACUGCCUUUUUUAUGGACAAUUUAUAUACCUUAGGACCGUAGUAAAAACCUCUAUAGUUUUGUAAGAUUGUGAGAUAUGAUUAAAACACAGGUUAUAACAAUUAUAUUUAUCAUUGCCGGUUAGCAUUAUAGGAGUUUAUAAGGAAACUGGUCCCCUCAGCAGGAUCUUUUAUAUACCACAUUUUUGCAGCAUAUAUGUACUAACAAAAUGAAUCUUGGACAUGUUGACUGAUAGUUCAGAGCAGUGUUUUGUUUUGUUUUGUUUUCCACAGUAAAAAAAAGUCUAUAAGACAUGGCACCAAAAUAUUUUUUCAGUAAAUCUCACAUAUUUGAUAGUAUACAAAAACUUCUUAAGGAAAGGCCAGCAUCAACAUUUAAUAAGUCAAAUACAGCUGGAAGAAAAUGUAACUCGGAAGUCAAAAUGUCUCAUACUUAGUUUUCUACCCUUUUUUUGGCGGGGGGCAGGGGGGAGGAUCAUUGAGAUCUAAAAACAGAAGAAAGCACAUGAGGCUUUCUUAUAGUUACAUAGAAAGAUAGGAUGGGGGGAGAGAAGGCCACAGGUCAGUGACUUCCACAUCAGAUUUUUCCACCUCUGAAAUCAGAUCAUAACAGAUCAGUUUAUGAUCAAUUAUGAUCAGCUCAUCAUUUUCUUUAGCGUUCUGCUGAAUGGUCUCCAAGCAUGGUUCUGUAUCUGGUCCCUUGCCAGGCUCACCUAGAGGGCCAACAGGACACUGGGGCCCUCCUCCAGACCUGAGCCAUUUCCUUAUCUGCUAGGUUGAAUUUCUCUUCUGUGUGGGCCUUUAUUGCUUGAUAUCUUUGGCCUGACAUUUCAAUUCAUAAUAUGUAGUGCUCAGUACACUUCUUCAUUCUUGGGACAGUCUUCAGUCACCUUGCGCUUUUCGAAUCUCUUGAAAAGUUCAGAGAAAGAUCUUUUUGUGGAGUUCGUGUCUACAGUAAGUGGAUCUUUUCCUUUGAGACCUAGAUUUUGGCUUUGGCAAGCUCCUUCUGUUUCACCCUCCUCCAUCACCUCAGGUACAGCCCCUGAAAAUCCAUCCAUAAUUUCCCCCAUCUCCAGGCAUUGCUUGUGGAGCUCCUCAUAUUUGCUUUUUAAUUCCAGAUGUUCCAUUUACCUGGCUUUAACUGCUAUAUCCAAGUUCUUCUGGCUAAACUGCAGUACAUCCAUGAUGGGAACAAAGGACAGAGGCAGGUCUAUUUGCAGGUCUUUCAAAUAAAAGUACAAAUUCAGAGCGUGCACAAGGAGCACGACUAUGUGUCCUCAGGCCCAAGCUACAGAGGACAGUUUCCAGGAUGCGGGCAGCCUCCAACCUCAAGCUUUCUGCACUUCUCUUCAUGAAAGUGAAACUCUCCUCUGGGUCCAUGUCUGGUUCUGCCCAUGCUGAGGAAGUGGGGGGAGGGGGGUGUGGAGCUCACUGCCCAGAUUGCUUAUGUGAGCUGAUGCACCCCAACAAUCCACUGUUCCUCCCUCACCUGCUGCUUUGGAGACCGCUUUGACAGUGUGGCUUUUUAUCCUCAAGUGAUUCCAAAUCGACAUCCAAAAUUGAGGAGUACUGAUAAAAGAUAGACUGCCCCCCUCACACCCCUGUAGAGAGCCAGGUGAACCUAAGAAGGGGUCCAAUGUGAAAAAAAGUUGCACAAUUGUUUAGUUUCUCUCUAUAUAAGUUUUCCCUAUAUAAGUUUCGCUCUAUAGCUUUACUUGGUUUGAGCAUUUUGAGUUGCCAGAAAAUCAGGCAACUCUUUGUAUAUUAAGUUAGAGAAUGCACUCCAGAGCCAAAUGAGCAUUUAUUUAUUUUAUUUUAUUGGUAAUGCCUUUGCUUUUAUUUCCCUCUUAUGCAAGUAGUUAAGAUUUGACUGUCUUAGCUAAAGUGUAAUUCAUUCAAUCUCUUUAUUUCAGACGUCUUGAUUUUGUGCCAAUUAAUUAAAGGUAAUUUGCUAGCAGAGCAGGUAAUGCAAACUGCAGAUAAUUAUGAACUCAAGUUAAAUAAAAUUCUUCAUCUUCCCUAGACCCCUUUCAAAUGGCCCGCUGUCCACUGUCCUGUGCAGCGAUUCUCAAGCGUGAGGGAGCAUCAGUCUCCCCUGAGGAGCUUAUUAAAAAUCAUAGAUCGCUGGGUCUGAUCUCCAGAGUUUCUGAUUGAGUAGGCCUGGGUUGGGAUCUGAGCAUUUGCAUCUCUAAUUAAAGUUCUUAGGUGAUGCUGAUGCUGUUGGCAUAAGGAUAAAACAAAUCAGAAGAAAAAUAUUUAAUUCUCCCUGGUGCAAAGAAAAAAGAAAGCGUUUACUUGAGAAGACCUAUCAUUGUAUGCUCUUCCUCUGCCUCCUGAAAUGUGCAGGAAUCUUUUUAAAGGCUAAGUGGGCCCUUUGUUCUCUCAACAAUCCAGGAAUUUCUCUUUGAAAUGGGACUUGGAGCCAUCACUUUGACAUGUAAUCAUCAGGGAAGGCAGGGCGCCUAGGUGCCAGUUUGCUGGGAGGAUCAGAGGCUAACUUCAGAAAGUACCUGGCUCCAAAUUACAAACCUAUUUUAUGUCAUAACAUAUGAGAAAUUUAUUCUUCCUUUGUAUGAAGACAAUCAGGCUUCUUGAGAAUUAGUUACCGUUUAUUUUGAGAAGAUGGUUGUGAUGGGUUCAUCUGCCUGCCUAAAAAAAUGGGUGGGAUUUUUUCCUGUCUUUGCCAUUUUUUUAGUGGCUUUCCUGUGAUCCACAUUCUGGCUUAAUGUUUAUUCAAUAAUAAACCUGUUUUCUUUCUCCUCU